GUACGGACGAGUGUCUAAGAGAUUUGUGGAUCCUGCCGAUUUCUUCAACAGAAAUUAAGAAAUAGAGAAGCAUAACUUUUAGAAGCUCUCAGAUUGAUGGA